AUUGAACGCUGGCGGCAGGCUUAACACAUGCAAGUCGAGCGGAGAUGAGGUGCUUGCACCUUAUCUUAGCGGCGGACGGGUGAGUAAUGCUUAGGAAUCUGCCUAUUAGUGGGGGACAACAUUCCGAAAGGGAUGCUAAUACCGCAUACGCCCUACGGGGGAAAGCAGGGGAUCACUUGUGACCUUGCGCUAAUAGAUGAGCCUAAGUCGGAUUAGCUAGUUGGUGGGGUAAAGGCCUACCAAGGCGACGAUCUGUAGCGGGUCUGAGAGGAUGAUCCGCCACACUGGGACUGAGACACGGCCCAGACUCCUACGGGAGGCAGCAGUGGGGAAUAUUGGACAAUGGGGGGAACCCUGAUCCAGCCAUGCCGCGUGUGUGAAGAAGGCCUUUUGGUUGUAAAGCACUUUAAGCGAGGAGGAGGCGCUCUAGGAUAAUACCCUAGAUGCGUGGACGUUACUCGCAGAAUAAGCACCGGCUAACUCUGUGCCAGCCGCCGCCGUAAUAC
rnacentral:rRNA from 1 species